GACGUAGGGCGCGAGCGUUGUCCGGAUUUAUUGGGCGUAAAGAGCUCGUAGGCGGCUUGUCGCGUCGUCCGUGAAACCUGCAGCUCAACUGCAGGCUUGCGGUCGAUACGGGCAGGCUAGAGUUCGGUAGGGGAGACUGGAAUUCCUGGUGUAGCGGUGAAAUGCGCAGAUAUCAGGAGGAACACCGGUGGCGAAGGCGGCAUCCUGGACCAAUAUUGACGCUGAGGAGCGAAAGCCAGGGAGCAAACGGG
rnacentral:rRNA from 1 species